rnacentral:rRNA from 1 species
ACUGCUCAGUAACACGUGGAUAACCUGCCCAAGGGUCCGGGAUAACCCCGGGAAACUGGGGAUAAUACCGGAUGGAUCACUAGUGCUGGAAUGCUUGGUGGUUUAAAGGUAACGCCCUUGGAUGGGUCUGCGGCGGAUUAGGUUGACGCCGGUGUAACGUACCGGCGUGCCUGUAAUCCGUACGGGUUGUGGGAGCAAGAGCCCGGAGAUGGAUUCUGAGACACGAAUCCAGGCCCUACGGGGCGCAGCAGGCGCGAAAACUCUACAAUGCAGGCAACUGCGAUAGGGGGACAUCGAGUGGCAUCCACCUUGGGUGCCUGUCCAACCGUCUAAAAAACGGUUGUUAGCAAGGGCCGGGUAAGACCGGUGCCAGCCGCCGCGGUAAUACCGGCGGCUCGAGUGGUGGCCGAUAUUAUUGAGUCUAAAGGGUCCGUAGCCGGCUUUGCAAGUCCCCUGGGAAAUCCAGCGGCUUAACCGUUGGGCUUCCAUGGGAUACUACAUUGCUUGGGACUGGGAGAGGUAGGAGGUACUCGGGGGGUAGGGGUGAAAUCCUGUAAUCCUCCGGGGACCACCGGUGGCGAAGGCGUCCUACCAGAACAGGUCCGACGGUGAGGGACGAAAGCUAGGGGCACGAACCGGAUUAGAUACCCGGGUAGUCCUAGCCGUAAACGAUGCCCGCUAGGUGUCACGACGGUCGUGAAUCGUCGUGGUGCCGUAGGGAAGCCGCGAAGCGGGCCACUUGGGGAAGUACGACCGCAAGGUUGAAACUUAAAGGAAUUGGCGGGGGAGCAC